rnacentral:rRNA from 1 species
CGGGUGAGGGGGACCUGCUGCUGGAUCAUUACUCACUGUGAU